rnacentral:rRNA from 1 species
UAUGCAUUCGACAGAUCAGCAGGUGCAGAACGACCCACGAGUUGAAGACCCAAAGCGCCCUGUCGGCGCUGAUCCAAAUGUCCUUGCCGAUCAGCCAGUUACGACGCGUAAGUAGCUACGUGCAGGACAUCAUACGAGCAGGUGGCAACAGGACAUGGAUGCGAAAGCAAACUUAAGAGCAAUAAUUCACUCCUAGUGCUAUUGUAUAAUGGAAGCCGAAAGGUCGGCAAGAAAAUGAAGGUGAGCGUUAUUUGGUCCGGUUCACACUGGGCUGGUUUAUGAGUCGGCGUCGUGGUUGUGCAGCCUUUCUGCCGUGUCUGUCGACAGGUGUGCAUGAUUUUGCC